rnacentral:rRNA from 1 species
AUUGAACGCUGGCGGCAGGCCUAACACAUGCAAGUCGAGCGGAUGAAGGGAGCUUGCUCCUGGAUUCAGCGGCGGACGGGUGAGUAAUGCCUAGGAAUCUGCCUGUUAGUGGGGGAUAACGUCCGGAAACGGGCGCUAAUACCGCAUACGUCCUGAGGGAGAAAGUGGGGGAUCUUCGGACCUCACGCUAUCAGAUGAGCCUAGGUCGGAUUAGCUAGUUGGUGGGGUAAAGGCCUACCAAGGCGACGAUCCGUAACUGGUCUGAGAGGAUGAUCAGUCACACUGGAACUGAGACACGGUCCAGACUCCUAAGGGAGGCAGCAGUGGGGAAUAUUGGACAAUGGGCGAAAGCCUGAUCCAGCCAUGCCGCGUGUGUGAAGAAGGUCUUCGGAUUGUAAAGCACUUUAAGUUGGGAGGAAGGGCAGUAAGUUAAUACCUUGCUGUUUUGACGUUACCAACAGAAUAAGCACCGGCUAACUUCGUG